UAUUGCAGUCACAUAAACACAACCAGCUCUUCAACAAAUUCUUAUCAAGAAAAUGGGUCAAGCGACACAUAACGACAAACUAAGAUUUAUAGGAUUUCUGAGCAAAUCAACAACGGCAACAUAACAUAUAGGCUACAAAUUAAAGUUGUAUUUGAUUGUUUUAGUAUAGGCAGAAAAAUUAAACCAGUUCCCCUUUUCUUGCUUCUCUGUAAUCUCUUUGAAACUCAAUCAAUAAAAUAAGCCAGUUGAUUCCUUUGUUCUUAA
rnacentral:lncRNA from 1 species